rnacentral:ncRNA from 1 species
GGUUGCACCAAAUCCUCUCUGCAAUCGCGGCUG